AACUAACAAACUGAGUUGAAGACUUUAAUUUAACUCUAGUGACUGACAAGUCUUCCUCGAAAAUGAUAAUAAAAAACUAGAAAUUACCGAAUGAUAUUUUCUGAAAAAUAAUACUCUUAGUGUUUGGGGAAU